GGGUCGGUGGUCUAGCUUGGUAUGAUUCUUGGUUCGGAUCCAAGGGAUCGCGAGUUCGAAUCUCGUCCGGCCCACCA
rnacentral:tRNA from 1 species